CUACGGGUUGCUCCAGUGAGGAAUAUUGCACAAUGGGGGAACCCUGAUGCAGCAACGCCGCGUGGAGGAUGACGCAUUUCGGUGUGUAAACUCCUUUUAUAUGUCAAGAAAAUGACGGUAGCAUAUGAAUAAGCACCGGCUAACUCCGUGCCAGCAGCCGCGGUAAUACGGAGGGUGCAAGCGUUACUCGGAAUCACUGGGCGUAGAGGACGCGUAGGCGGGUUGGAAAGUCAGGUGUGAAAUCCUACAGCUUAACUGUAGAACUGCACUUGAAACUUCUAAUCUAGAGUAUGGGAGGGGGAGAUGGAAUUAGUGGUGUAGGGGUAAAAUCCGUAGAUAUCACUAGGAAUACCUAAAGCGAAGGCGAUCUCCUGGAACAUUACUGACGCUAAGGCGUGAAAGCGUGGGGAGCAAACAGGAUUAGAUACCCGCGUAGUC
rnacentral:rRNA from 1 species